AUGAAUGAUGAGAUGCAUUGGACUCUGAGCCAUUUUCGCUUGCAAAUUGUUAUAAAUGCGUUUGCCUAGAAAGCAUUAUUUGACCA
rnacentral:snoRNA from 1 species